GACGAACGCUGGCGGCGUGCUUAACACAUGCAAGUCGAACGCUGAAGCUCAGCUUUUGUUGGGUGGAUGAGUGGCGAACGGGUGAGUAACACGUGAGUAACCUGCCCCCUUCUUUGGGAUAACGCCCGGAAACGGGUGCUAAUACUGGAUAUUCACUGGUCUUCGCAUGGGGGUUGGUGGAAAGGGUUUUUCUGGUGGGGGAUGGGCGCGCGGCCUAUCAGCUUGUUGGUGGGGUGAUGGCCUACCAAGGCUUUGACGGGUAGCCGGCCUGAGAGGGUGACCGGUCACAUUGGGACUGAGAUACGGCCCAGACUCCUACGGGAGGCAGCAGUGGGGAAUAUUGCACAAUGGGCGCAAGCCUAAUGCAGCGACGCCGCGUGAGGGAUGGAGGCCUUCGGGUUGUGAACCUCUUUCGCUCAUGGUCAAGCCGCAACAAUGGUUGUGGUGAGGGUAGUGGGUAAAGAAGCGCCGGCUAACUACGUG
rnacentral:rRNA from 1 species